CGGGAGGUGGACAGGGAGCAGGGGGGCAGCCGAGGGCCAGGCAGGCUCGGCCUGACUUCUCCAGGGGAGCCCACAAACACAUCUGUCAAGUUUACUGAACACCAUUCAUAUCAGAAUUCCCAUCAAGAAUUUCACAUCAGUCCUUGAAGAGCCAUUUCCUGGGAAUGGAGGAAGGAGCUGCACUUUCAGUGAGGCUCUGGGGCAUUUUGUCAUGCCCUAGGUUUGGGUACUCUUCCAGAUUGCUUUCAGAAGAUCGUGAAUCAUGUCUGGUCUUUGCUGCGCCUCCUUUUUGGGCAGUGAGCUCCAGGAGAUGGCUGCUCUGGACAGUAUUUGCUUUGUUUGAUUAACGAAGACUUGGACCUUGUUGUUCUUUACUGUCGCUGCCUCAAAGGCUUUAAUCAAAGGCUGUUUGGAAAUAAUGCUAGCUAAUUAGCUAUUUGUGAUGCAACAAGGGCGACUCUCUCUUAGUUCCUUAAACCUUUCACCUGAAACACAAACAUGCCACACUGGAGAUUUAAUUGUCAAGGAAGAUGAAAAGUCUACCAAAUCAUUUGCUGGGUAAAGGCCUCCUGUUGACAUAAGCAACAGGAACCUGCAGGCUUGUGCAACAUGGGCCUGUAGCAGCAUGUUGUCAUGUGGAAAGUGGAUGAGUGACAUGGCUGAUCUCUAGCA
rnacentral:lncRNA from 1 species